rnacentral:rRNA from 1 species
ACUGCUCAGUAACACGUGGACAACCUACCCAAGAGUCAGGGAUAACCCCGGGAAACUGGGGAUAAGACCGGAUAGGCCAUUUCUGCUGGAAUGCUUAGUGGUUUAAAGGUAACGCUCUUGGAUGGGUCUGCGGCGGAUUAGGUUGACGCCGGUGUAACGUACCGGCGUGCCUGUAAUCCGUACGGGUUGUGGGAGCAAGAGCCCGGAGAUGGAUUCUGAGACACGAAUCCAGGCCCUACGGGGCGCAGCAGGCGCGAAAACUCUACAAUGCAGGCAACUGCGAUAGGGGGACAUCGAGUGAUACCCACCUUGGGUAUCUGUCCCACCGUCUAAAAAACGGUGGUUAGCAAGGGCCGGGUAAGACCGGUGCCAGCCGCCGCGGUAAUACCGGCGGCUCGAGUGGUGGCCGAUAUUAUUGAGUCUAAAGGGUCCGUAGCCGGCUCCGUGGGUCCCCCGGGAAAUCCAGCGGCUUAACCGUUGGUCGUCCGUGGGAUAUCGCGUUGCUUGGGACCGGGAGAGGUGGGAGGUACUCGGGGGGUAGGGGUGAAAUCCUGUAAUCCUCCGGGGACCACCGGUGGCGAAGGCGUCCCACCAGAACGGGUCCGACGGUGAGGGACGAAAGCUAGGGGCACGAACCGGAUUAGAUACCCGGGUAGUCCUAGCCGUAAACGAUGCCCGCUAGGUGUCACGACGGUCGUGAAUCGUCGUGGUGCCGUAGGGAAGCCGCGAAGCGGGCCACUUGGGAAGUACGGCCGCAAGGCUGAAACUUAAAGGAAUUGGCGGGGGAGCACA